rnacentral:rRNA from 1 species
GGAGGGGGCAAGCGUUGUUCGGAAUUAUUGGGCGUAAAGGGCGCGUAGGCGGCCAUGCAGGUCGGUUGUGAAAUCCCUUGGCUCAACCAAGGAACUGCGUCCGAAACUGCAUGGCUCGAGUCCGGGAGAGGGUAGUGGAAUUCCCAGUGUAGCGGUGAAAUGCGUAGAUAUUGGGAGGAACACCGGUGGCGAAGGCGGCUACCUGGACCGGAACUGACGCUGAGGCGCGAAAGCUAGGGGAGCAAACAGGAUUAGAUACCCUGGUAGUCCUAGCUGUAAACGAUGAGCACUUGGUGUAGCGGGUAUUGACCCCUGCUGUGCCGAAGCUAACGCAUUAAGUGCUCCGCCUGGGGAGUACGGUCGCAAGGCUG